ACUCAGUUAUUUAGGAAAAGCGGUUAACAGAGCCUUCAAUCUUCUCGGCUACAACCCAUCAUCCAUAUAUUUUUACCCGUAACUGCUUCACGCUUCACCUUCCAUCUAUUUCUCUUUCUCUAACAAUUCGUCUCUUCUAAAUUAUGAAAAACCUAAUUCGUCUUUCUUUGGCAUUUGAGUGACAAGAAGGAUGAUUCCAAGGGAUUAAGAGAAAUUAUCCGCUUAAUUGAUGACGAUGAACUUGAUGAUGAUGACAUGUUCUUUCUGGUCUUUGACAAUGAUGAACCAUUUAACUGAUCAUAAUUCAACCGAUUGUCGUAGGGUUUUUUCUAUGUCAAGUUGUGAAUUAUCAACGGCACUAAAAACGAAUUAGGAUUGCAUUUGAGUGAUUCAAGGGAUUGUGAUAUGAGGUUCUGGGAGUCAUCUCAAUGAUAAAGCCUUAUGAGUGAGAUAACACAAUACAAACUUUGAAGUAGUUGAAGUCACGUUUGGAGUGGAAGAAUGUUUUAAAUGAUGAGUGUUAAUGAAUGUUUGGCAACUAAAGAGGCAGCUGUUACAAAAGAUAUUUCCAUAUCCCUCAACAUUCUCUUUUUCAUAAUAAAGAAUUUACCUCAAACAAUCAUUUGGUCUUGGACUCCUGGCUUCCCCUUUAAAUUUUUUCUUUUAGUGUGUACAUGUGUGUUUCUUUUGGUUAACUUAUCAUCGAAUUGGUUUUGACUUUUAUUUGUUUAUAUAAUCCUGCAGGAGGUUUUCAGAGGAUACCGUAAAAGGAGCAAAAAUUCGGAGUUAACUUCUGGAUUUUAUUUAUUUACAGGAAAAUGUGGAAGGUGGUGGCAACACGGUAUGGGUGAAGUUGGUGCAAUUGGGACAGUUUUGGAAGGGCUGACCUUUGCAACUGUUUUGGAUGACAGUGGCAAAAAUUUGGAUGCCGUGAGCUUAGUUUUGUUCAAAUUACAAAAGCAAAUUGAGUGUGGAAACACUCUCACCCGUAUCCAAUGAACAUGUGUGUGGCAGAUCGGGCGAAUAUUCAAGUGUGGGAAUGCAGGAAAGUUAUGUUCAUCACCGGUGCAAGAAUUUAUAAGCAAAUCGAAGACCCACCUCAUGUCACGGACUUGAAGGGGAUGCUGUGAAAAUGAGAUGACGCGAGGAACAUGGAAAUCUUCUAAGGAACAUAAUCCAUUUAUCUCCAUUGGUGUAGAAUCUACCAUGAAGCUACCCGUAUCACAACACCUCAUACGUGGUCAUCUGAAAAACUGGAGUAGUACAGUACACAUAAGAGACUAGGACAAUGCUAGAAGAAGAUACGAGGACUGUUGUUAGUUUUAGUAGUUGGGCACCUGGAACUAGAGUUGACAACAAAAAGUGUUACUUGAAACUUGCAAUUCUGUUGGUGUUGCAGGGAUGAGCUAUUGAAAAGUACACAAUCAUUGGUUAUAUACCUUGCAAAGAAUUACAACUAUCAAGGAAUAGCCUUAAAAGAUUUAAUCCAGGGAUGGGGAAUCUAUAACAUGUCUCAUGGGAUGGGGAAAAAAGAAUGAGAGUAUGGAGUUCCGAAAUGGAGGCAAUUUACUCUUUUGAUAUAAUUUGACUAAAAUGAAUUUACGAUAUAAGAGGGAAGGAUCCAAAAUACAAGAUGGUAGAAGAUGCAAGAGAGUAUGAAGUUGUGUGCCUGUGUAUGGAUAUCCGCCACAUAUCACUGCACCACACAUCCAUCCUCACUCUCCGACUGCAACCUAACCACCCUGAUCACCACCUAUGCCUUGCUCGGCUUGCCAGGAAGUUUCGUUCACGGGACACAGCUCAACAGGUUGCGAGAUGAGGUCCGAAACCUUGAGUGUUCAUUGAAAUGUCUACACGAGGCUGUUGCUGACUUGGUACACAUUUAUGUUAACAAAAAGCACUUUUUUAGGGCGAAGCUGAUUUGUAGCAACCAAGCUUAUGCAAAGCCAUAUUAUAAUCUUAGCAGAGCCAACAGAGGGUUCCUUAUCAUUAUCAGAGGUAGGAUCGUUCUAUACCAAAAGCCCAAAACCAUCGACACAUUGAGUCUAUGGUCCAAGAAUCGUGAAAUCCAUGUUUUUAGAAUGGUCAGUUUUUUAUUUUAUUUUAUUUUUUUAAUUCUAUCGUUAUAUAUGUUGCAUAAAUCACCAAGUUAUUCAGGAUUAGAGAGGAUUAGAGGUGGUGAAACAGAUAGGUAGAGGUAGACGUAGACGGGUCAAAUGGAUUGGACUAAGAAGAGUCACGAUCUGUCAAUGCUUUUGAAUUUUGGAUUUCUUGGAUGCUCAGUUUUGUCGAGUUUAAGUAUGAAAGUUUGUAUUUUUUGUAUAACGGCAUUCAAGAGAGUUUGUCUUGAUACCCCAUACUCUUAUUUGUAUUUUUCUUAUAACGGCACUCUAUACAUUUAUUAAAGUAACUUAGUCCAGGAUUUGGUAACCAUCUAAAUAAUUUCCGUCAUUAUCAGUAAUGAUGCCCAUUCUUUUUUUUUUUUUUUGGGUGGAACAAAUGAUUAAUUGUGGCACACAUGAGUAAGUUAUAUGCUAAAACUUUGUCAUAUAGUGUGGCAACAUUAGUCUGUUAGACGGUAUUUGGUACGGGAUGGGUGAGCUUGCUCGGAGAUUUUUUGUGUACAUAAGAGAUGACUAUAAAUAAAGGAUUAUAAUGAUAACCUUGGUGAAACCUGACAUUAGGUGAGGCUUGCUGCUGUAUUAUUUUUUGAAUAAAUUUCAUGAAAGGAAUGAAACUCUUAUGGGCCAAAUUAACUUGAAAUCACUCAUUUGAAUUCUUAAACCACCCAAUUUAACUCAUUAAAUUUUUUAUAUUUUUUUUUUUUUGUCGGUCUCCAUUUCUACCUGAUUCUGUGACUUUUCUAAUGAUGUGCCAUUAGAUGUAAGCGGACAAAAAGACCAAUAGGGCAGUGGACUUCAAAAAUUUUUGUUCAUUACUUCAUUCUUUUUAAAUUGAAAUGUAUGUACUCAAGCAUAUUUUUCUUUUUGUUUAUAUUGCCCAAACUGUCAAACUACACUGUAUAUACAAAAUGGGUGGGUUGGGUAGAAAAUCCAACUAUGGAAUGUUUGUAAUUGUGAAGUUUUUGAAGGUUUCAGCCCUAUCUCGCAAGUAGAUCUAACAUGAAGUACUUAAGCGACAAAUGCAUUUGAGAUUUUGAUACGCUUUUAGUUAGUACAAAGACUAUGGUUAAGAAUAGUCGAUUAGAAAAAAGUUAGUGGUGGUGCCAAUCUGUAAGAUGUUUUUCUCUUCGUUGUAAAGUUUUCAGCUUAUGAAUGUCAUUAUAAAUAAUUUCAGCACCAACCAUAUUGAGUAAAAAAAAUGGUCUUCACGAUUCAAACAUUAAAUUCUAAUUCAGUAGGUAAGUAGGUUGUUCUCUUGGAUUGCAGGUUGUGCUCUUCAGUUGCAUUAUACUCGGGUAUGUUUAAUGGACCACCAAACUGCACAAUACAUCCUCAAGAAGUUUGAGCGUCACACCCUUACCACACACAUAUCAAGUGAGACACCAAAGCAAUUGAUGAUGAUACUCACCUACAUAUAGUAUACACCUGCAAUCGUUUCUGGAACAAACCCGACCUCAGUGAGACAAAAUAUUCAAGUUUUAGUUAAAUGAACACAAGUGCAUCUAAGGUCACUAAGCUUAUUUUCAAGUCUACUUAGCUCUUUGUGAUUGUGUUUUGAACAACACAACUUUUUUGAUAGCCAAACACAUUCUCUGGAAAGCUGUUACCAUAUAAUUCUUUUAUUUUGAACUCCACUAUUAUACGGAUUGUUGUUUUGAUCUAGGAUGUGUAACUGCAAUAUGUGUUGCAUGUUAAAAAAAAAAUUAUGAAGCUUUUA